rnacentral:rRNA from 1 species
UACGUAGGGGGCAAGCGUUGUCCGGAUUUAUUGGGCGUAAAGCGCGCGCAGGCGGUUCUUUAAGUCUGGUGUCUAAGUGCGGGGCUCAACCCCGUGAUGCACUGGAAACUGGGGAACUUGAGUGCAGAAGAGGAGAGCGGAAUUCCACGUGUAGCGGUGAAAUGCGUAGAGAUGUGGAGGAACACCAGUGGCGAAGGCGGC